CAUUGAAGGGGAACGCAAACAGAUUAGAGGCAAGAAGGGAUAAUCAGAUCUAGAGAAGACAAAGAAGAAUAAGAAAUCGAAAAGAAAACGGAGAUGAAGGUCGAAACAUGACAGACGAGAAAUCAUCAUCACCACGAAGGAGAAACAGUGGCAAAGUGAUUUCUUGUUCUUAAUACUUAUGAGAAGUAUUAAGUGAAGAAGACUGAACCAGAUCGAAGCUAAGCGAAGCAAAGAAAGAAGAAAAAGAGAAAAGAGGAAGGAGGAAGAACAGUUUCAAGAUGGGGUUUUAUGAGACUCAUUCCCGUC